rnacentral:snRNA from 9 species
UUACCUACCUGGCGUCGGGAUACCGUGAUCGGCGUGAUCAUGCAAGUGGUUCCCCCAGGGUGCGGCUGCUCCAUUGCGCUGCGGAGUGAUUAACCCCUGGGAUUAUUUUUAUAUAUUAUAUAUUAUAAGUUUCACUUCUACUGUGUGUGACUUGUACACAAACACAUU